UACAGAGGUGGCAAGCGUUGUUCGGAAUUACUGGGCGUAAAGGGCGCGUAGGCGGUCCCGUCAGUCCCUUGUGAAAUCCCCCGGCUCAACUGGGGAACUGCAAGGGAUACAGCGGGGCUUGAGUUCGGGAGAGGGAAGCGGAAUUCCAGGUGUAGCGGUGAAAUGCGUAGAUAUCUGGAGGAACACCGGUGGCGAAGGCGGCAUCCUGGACCAAUAUUGACGCUGAGGAGCGAAAGCCAGGGGAGCAAACGGG
rnacentral:rRNA from 1 species